UUUAUCUCACAUAUUCUUGUAUUGCUGUUGCAUUGGUUCACCUUUUACCCUUUGUCUCUGCAUUUUGAUGUUCCCCUUCCUUUCCCUAGUUCUUAUAAAUGUUCAUACAAUAACCAAGGUACCAAAACCAGAUACAGUGACAUCAGGGGUAAAACCAUGGGGAAGAAAGAAAAAAGAAAAUGGUAUAAUUUCACAUGGUACAUUGAAAAUAACAACAACA